GAAAUCUGAAUGGUCAUUUUUGAUCAUGUGAUCUAAUUUGACGUGAUCUAAUUUGACGCUAAAAUAGGCACACACAAUGGAAGAAACAUUGAUAUGUCAUCUGCAAUAAGCAAUUUAUUCGUGACAUUAGCGUGUAUAUGUAGUGCCAAAGGAUGAAGGAAAAGAUGAUUAAUUUAUAAUUGUUGCAAAACGUUAAAUGCGGAGAAAGAUGUCUUCAAGAGCUGUAAUGUACAAAAUAAGAUUUUAGUAAAGGAGUUUCUCUCCCCAGCAAUAAACAAAAAUCUGUACAAACAUGCAAAAUGUGUAAACGACCAAACUAGCCAUAUCUGUAAAUGUUACGUGAGAAAACAGAUGGUAUACAGUUGAACACAAUACCAAAAUACUGACGAAAAA